AACAAACGCUGGCGGCGUGCAUAACACAUGCAAGUCUAACGGGAGAGCGGGCUUCGGCCUGCAAGUACCGUGGCGAACGGGUGAGUAAUACAUCGGAACGUGCCCAGUCGUGGGGGAUAACGUAGCGAAAGCUACGCUAAUACCGCAUACGAUCUAAGGAUGAAAGCGGGGGACCGUAAGGCCUCGCGCGAUUGGAGCGGCCGAUGGCAGAUUAGGUAGUUGGUGGGGUAAAGGCUCACCAAGCCGACGAUCUGUAGCUGGUCUGAGAGGACGACCAGCCACACUGGGCCUGAGACACGGCCCAGACUCCUACGGGAGGCAGCAGUGGGGAAUUUUGGACAAUGGGCGCAAGCCUGAUCCAGCCAUUCCGCGUGCAGGAUGAAGGCCCUCGGGUUGUAAACUGCUUUUGUACGGAACGAAAAGGCUCUGGUUAAUACCUGGGGCUCAUGACGGUACCGUAAGAAUAAGCACCGGCUAACUACGUGCCAGCCGCCGCAGUAACAC
rnacentral:rRNA from 1 species